AUUGAGCGCUGGCGGCAGGCCUAACACAUGCAAGUCGGACGGUAGCACAGAGGAGCUUGCUCCUUGGGUGACGAGUGGCGGACGGGUGAGUAAUGUCUGGGGAUCUGCCCGAUAGAGGGGGAUAACCACUGGAAACGGUGGCUAAUACCGCAUAACGUCGCAAGACCAAAGAGGGGGACCUUCGGGCCUCUCACUAUCGGAUGAACCCAGAUGGGAUAGCUAGUAGGCGGGGUAAUGGCCCACCUAGGCGACGAACCCUAGCUGGUCUGAGAGGAUGACCAGCAACCCUGGAACUGAGACACGGUCCACACUCCUACGGGAGGCAGCAGUGGGGAAUAUUGCACAAUGGGCGCAAGCCUGAUGCAGCCAUGCCGCGUGUAUGAAGAAGGCCUUCGGGUUGUAAAGUACUUUCAGCGGGGAGGAAGGCGGUGAGGUUAAUAACCUUGCCGAUUGACGUUACCCGCAAAAGAAGCACCGGCUAACUCCGUGCCAGCCGCCGCGGUAA
rnacentral:rRNA from 1 species